CGAUCUCCUCGCAACGCUCAACGUUACCAUGAUGGCUUGUCUGCUGUUGCUUCAGCGUCGCCGCUCUUGAAAUGCGCCGCGAAGAUAUUGGGUGCAUCCGCUUUGGAGGUACAGAGAUACUGAAGGACAGGCCCACACACUGCUUCCCCGUCUGCGAGCAAGGGAUGAAGUCUAUUUCCGAGAUUUCCUCCGAAUGCCACCAAGGACUUUUGACACAUUGCUCAGUCUCGUUGGACCACUUAUCGAGAGAAGAGUGACGCCGUUUCGGCUGCCAAUUUCUGCACAUGAAAGGCUGGCGAUGACCCUGAGAUUUCUUGCUAAUGGAGACACCUUCCGAAGUCUGUCAUUCAACUUUCUGACAGGACGAUCCACGGCAGGUGAAAUAGUAAGGGAAACA